AUUGAACGCUGGCGGCAUGCUUUACACAUGCAAGUCGAACGGUAACAGGGAGCUUGCUCCGCUGACGAGUGGCGAACGGGUGAGUAAUGCGUCGGAACGUGCCGAGUAGUGGGGGAUAACGCAUCGAAAGGUGUGCUAAUACCGCAUACGUACUGAGGUAGAAAGUGGGGGACCUUCGGGCCUCACGCUAUUCGAGCGGCCGACGUCUGAUUAGCUAGUUGGUGAGGUAAAGGCUCAACAAGGCGACGAUCAGUAGCGGGUCUGAGAGGAUGAUCCGCCACACUGGGACUGAGACACGGCCCAUACUCCUACGGGAGGCAGCAGUGGGGAAUUUUGGACAAUGGGCGCAAGCCUGAUCCAGCCAUGCCGCGUGUCUGAAGAAGGCCUUCGGGUUGUAAAGGACUUUUGUCCGGGAGCAAAUGCUGGUGGCUAACAUCCACCGGAGCUGAGAGUACCGGAAGAAUAAGCACCGGCUAACUACGUGCCAGCCGCCGCAGUAAGAC
rnacentral:rRNA from 1 species